UUUGUUUGUUUUAGAGGUUGUGAGAUUUGAUGGCUACAACAUUUAUUUCAUUAUUUGAGAGGAUCUCCUUGAGUGAUUAUUUAUAUUCGAAGAGAGGGCAUUUUCUUAAAGACUAGAAGCACUCUAGUGUUGUAAAUAUUUUUCAAACACCCGUAAACUUAGUGGAUACCCAAAGAGAACUUAGAGAGUGGACGUAAGCAAUGAUUCGCCAAACCACUAUAAAUUGUUUGCACUCUCUUCUCUCUUCUUAUUGCUUAUUUAUUUGAUUAGAGUGCAUAGUAAAUUUAUUGUUAAGUAAACUUUUAAUUGGUUAUUAAGAGUAGCAAACCUAUUCACUCCUCAUAGUUUGAUUUUUAGCUAAGAGAAAUAAAAAUGAAAAAGGUAUGUGAUCCAAUAGUUUUGAACAAUUGGAUCGUCAGCUUUUUUUAUUUUUAUUUUAUUUUUUCUCACUAAAUUUAGAAUCCAAACACAAUCUUAGGGUGUGAAUUUCGAAAUCUACAAAUAUAAUAUAGGCUACGUUCAUUUGGUGUGAAUUCAGUUAGUGGUUGCAAUUAAGGUCUCUUGUAAGUACGAUAUGAAUAAUGUUUGAUUCUUUUAUGUUGUCUUUUUUUAGUUCUCUUUUUUGUGUGCUUGAUUAGAUUAGUUAUGUAAUUAAUUAUAACUCUAGUUGGACUGGGGCAAAUUAAAUUAAUUGAUUGUUAGAUUAUUAAUUAAUUAAUAUCAUGGUUAUAUCAUUGUGUGACAAGGGUUUGAUAAAUUACCGAAGCAUUUUUAUCCUAGUGACUAUAAUAUCCGAAAGCUUAGGUUGCGUUUCGAAAGGAAAGAAAUGGAAAAGAAUGGACACUAAUAAUUUUCCCUUUUCCAGGUUUCGUAUCUAGUUUUAAGAAGGAAAGUCAGUCAAAACUUAUUUUCUUUCUUGUUUUGAAAUUUUCUUUUCACAUUUUCACCUCUUAAUUUUAUCUAAAAUUAAAUAAAAAUAAUUUUUUUUUUUUUUACAAAAAACAAACAAAGAGAAAUAUAUAGUUUUCUCUAGAUUCUUCCUUUUAAUUCCUUUAUCUAGUUUCUCUUUCUUUUUCUUUACACAAUUUCCAAACACAGGCUUAAUCAUGGGAGAGAGAGGUUGCUAGGUUGUGUAAUUAGCAAAAUUUCAUGACACGUCUUAUUUGAUGUAAUUUGGAGAUUUAGUUUAUCAAUUACAAGCAUUCGGAAAGAUUUCAAGCAUUCAAAAAGGUUUUUAAGUAUAUUCAUACAAGAUCAUGCUAACAGAGACUUGUAAGAUACAUCGUGGAUGAUAAACGGGACUUCAAGGGAUUUCGAGAGAUGACAAUCAUUAGAUCAUAGAGUUGAUAGAUUUUAAUUGUAAGAGUCUUGUAAUCAUCUGAACAUCGAGUUAUAGUGCAUGAUCUUUGUCCAGAGAAGGGAACACGUGAUUUUUCUUUCAUUCAAGGGUUUCCACGGUAAAAAUCUUGUGUAUUUCUUGGUUAAUGGGUUUGUUUCUUUUUAUAUCUUGAAUCUUACAAUAUUGCACAAAGUCGUGAUAUUCAUUUAAUAUUGUAGUUUUUAGAUCAUUGGGUAAAACAUAGACAAAUGUUAGGUUUUCUAAAUGUCAAUUACACAAAUAGAUACACAGUAUUAUUAUACAUAGAGGGAGCAAUAGCCCACAAGUAGAAGUUUCAGUUUCACCACACCCAUAUUAUUAACAGAUGGAAAUAUAUAUUUAUUCUUGAGAGGUACACACUGAUCACACAUCUACUGCUCCAUACCAAGUAAGCCAGAUAAUGGCAUUUAUAUCUCCAUUAUAUCACUUGAGAUGGUGGGUCUCAAUGUCUUUUGUGAUCUCAAUACAGAGGUCCAUCAAUUUGUUUGGCUCUUCAACAUCUUCUUUCGGCUUUUCAUAGUGAAAGUUCCAUGUCACCGAGGUGUUUUCCCCUUUUGUGUCCACAUGAACAACAAUCAUAAAG
rnacentral:lncRNA from 1 species